CUCAACAUUUUCACUUGUAAUAUUAUUGCGUAUGACUGAUGGAGUUAAAAUCCUGUCAAAUGUCGUAUUCUUUUAGGUUUGCAUGCCAGUUUUGACGAGGAUGUUGACUCCUGGACUGUUCUCAUGACAAAUGCACCAUGUUGACAUCAGAUGGUUACAUUUUGUUCACUCUAUGAGGAAUUAUGUCUGAAGUUCUUUGAGCACAAACCUUACGAUGGAAGAGCUGCUAUGGGAUUUGGCAUGCUCAUUGGCAUCUCAAUUGGGCUCCUCAAUCUGAGUCUAGGUUUCAGUUAUGUUGGUUUCCCCAAGCCCCAUCUCUGACGCUGCUCGAUAGCACCUCGUCGACAUCUCUCAAGCAGCAGUGUACGUGGUGAUGCAGUAUCAUUCCUUGGACCUGAAUGUUGAACAUCUGUUCAUGUACAAUCUUGCUAAUGACAUCAAUAUACACUUGCUAAAGAUAACACGUAGUACCUGUCCUCAAGAAUUGAUAAAUUAGAGAAAUUAUACAAGUAUGCAUUGUAAGAGAUAAGCAGGCACAAAUGGAGCGACUAACUGCAAGGCGUUGCAAAGAAAUAGGAGGCGAGAUGAAGAGGAAGGGGGCUCCUUUUCCGCACCUCUAAUUCGGGCAGGAAUGAUGACUCAAUUGGUUGGUGCUGCUGCAGUGAAGGUGGCUCUAGUAUUGUGCCCUCUGACCGUCGUUGGCAACCACAACGCUGCUGAUGUGGCUGCCCUGCUGUUCAGCAGUGGACGAGCAGUGAUCCAUUGGUUGUGCUAGAACGCACGUGUUUCCGCCCUCGCCGAUAUCACAGAUGUCGAUCCUAGAUAGUUCGCGCCGCAGCGUGGCUCCCGCCAGCGAUGGCGUCUGACUGCGACCCGUGGCCCGUAGGCGGGGCUUGCCGCGUCACAAGGAUGGUGGUGGGGAGGAAUGGAGGACGAGCUUGUGGAUGCUUGCCCUAGAUGCUGAUGCUGGAAGUCGAGCCGGAGCUUCUGUAAGGGUGACAAUUCCCCCUAGCAUCUACUGCUGACCACUUUGCUCCUGCCUCCGUCCACAUUCCUGAGUGCUGCCGAGGACCACCAAUUUGAGUUGUUGUUGCCAGGAGAUGGCUGAAAAUGCAUUCAGUUUUCAAAAAUUAUACCCCUGAACUUUUUGAUGCUAUACCUGAAAGGCUGAACUCAUUGAGCGAUCCCAAACUGAUGGCGACCACAUCGCAGCUCUUGACGGCAUCGACCUGAAUUGCUUGGAGAAGCAUGAGGCUGUGGUUGAACAGAGCACAAGAUGGAGGAGAAAAUCACGGCACUAUCCACUUCCUUAUUGUCUCUGAAGGUAUUGACCAAUGCACCAGUUGCAUGGUUAAUAUCUGAGCUCUGUGAUAGUUUAUCAUUGUGUAAUUACUCCAGAUUACAUGCCCUGAAUACAUGCUAGCGUAAUUGAAGGACCAAGUCUGACUAUUUAUUUUCA